CUGCAGCCUUGUGAAGAAGGUACUUGCUUCUCCUUUGUCUUCCACCAUGAUUGUAAGUUUCCCGAGGCCUCCCAGCCAUGUGGAACUAAAAUAAAGAAGACACUAGAAGAAAAAACCUUCAAAAGAGAAAUAUCUUAGAGAACUGCUAGAGUGGCCAAGACUGGGUCCAUGGAAGAAAAUGGUAUAUACCAACUAUCUCGGGUAGUUAAUUGACAUUUCCUUUUUUUUUUUAACAUAGUGUUCACUGUGUUGAAAUGGAUACUUGAGGGUAAAUUACAUGGUAUGCUCCUUUUUUCUUUCCAGUUAGUUCUAAAGCAGGAAAUGAUAGACUGUUCUAUUUCCUUGCAUGUCAGAAGAGAAAUGUCAAGCAUUUUAUUGGCUAGGAAAAUUUCUGCCCAGUUUUGUGGGCCCAAGGGACCUUAGAUAUAAGAAAGACGCAAGCUGAAAGUGAAGAGUACAUAAAAGAGCACUGUUCUUAGAAGACUUCCUGAGAGAGUGAUUGGCUAUACUUUAUCUCUCUUCUGCCAUUUAAAUCUUCCCCUCUUGUAUUUUCUUUGAACUUUGGGCCAUAACAAGCCUUCAGACUAUUCUGCCUCUCAGAGGUCCCCAGAUGUAUUGGAGAAGCUGUGGGUUCAGAUGUCUGCAAGUACCCUCACUUAUUUGCCAUACUAGCCCAUUGUUUAAAACUGCCAUGUUCUCAAGUAUUUUUUAUUUUUUAAUAGAAAGGCCAUUCCAUUUGUUGGAAGAUUUUUCUUACCAAAUAUUGGAGAGUUAAAAAGAAAUUUCCCAUAUACAGCACUUCAGAAGGACCCAAGUCAUUCACAGACUGUUUAUGACUACAAUUAAGUCUUCUCUUAGUGGAUGAUAUCAACUCCAAACCCACACAAGCAAGCUGAGUUCCAUUCAAAGCAAUAACAGCACCUACUCUGUGCUUUCUCUUCUCUUCUGAAAACAGCUUAGCAGCUUCACAGUAAUGAUGUCUUCAAAGAAUUCUGAUGAGCCAAGGACUGUGAGCAUAGGGCUGAUCUCCAUCAUACCUAGUGCAGCUCUGCCUGAUUGCACAAAACACUUAUGCAGUUUCCCUUUCAAAUGAAAUUAGCAUAGAUGAACGUAUAAUUUCUGAGUAAUUUGCCAGGCCUUCCCCCUUUUUCUCAUAAUAAAGCUAUUCUAUUCACCAUC